UACGAAGGGGGCUAGCGUUGUUCGGAUUUACUGGGCGUAAAGGGUGUGUAGGCGGUUUUGAGAGUCAGAGGUGAAAUCCCAAGGCUUAACCUUGGAAUUGCCUUUGAUACUUCAUGACUUGAGCGUGAUAGAGGGUAAUGGAAUUCUCAGUGUAGAGGUGAAAUUCGUAGAUAUUGAGAGGAACACCAGUGGCGAAAGCGAUUACCUAGAUCAUUGCUGACGCUCAGACACGAAAGCGUGGGGAGCAAACAGG
rnacentral:rRNA from 1 species